rnacentral:rRNA from 1 species
AUUGAACGCUGGCGGCAGGCUUAACACAUGCAAGUCGAGCGAGCGGCGGACGGGUGAGUAAUGUCUGGGAAACUGCCUGAUGGAGGGGGAUAACUACUGGAAACGGUAGCUAAUACCGCAUACCAUCAGAUGUGCCCAGAUGGGAUUAGCUAUUAGGUGGGGUAAUGGCUCACCUAGGCGACGAUCACUAGAUGGUCUGAGAGGAUGAUGCGCCACACUGGAACUCAGACACGGUCCAGACUCCUACGGGAGGCAGCAGUAGAGAAUAUUGCACAAUGUGCGCAAGCCUGAUGCCGCCAUGCCGCGUGUGUGAAGAAGGCCUUCGGGUUGUAAAGCACUUUCAGCGAGGAGUCGUUACUCGCAGAAGAAGCACCGGCUAACUCCGUGCCAGCCGCCGCGGUAAUAC